rnacentral:rRNA from 1 species
UACAGAGGGUGCAAGCGUUAAUCGGAAUUACUGGGCGUAAAGCGUGCGUAGACGGUUAUGUAAGUCGGGGUGUGAAAAGCCCCCGGGCUCAACCUGGGGAAUGCCAUUCGAGACUGCAUAGCUAGGGUGCGGAAGAGGGGAAGCGGAAUUUUCAGGUGUAGCGGUGAAAUGCGUAGAUAUCUGAAGGAACACCAGUGGCGAAAGCGGCUUCCUGGACCAACACUGACGCUGAGUGAGCGAAAAGCCAGGGGGAGCAAAACGGG